rfam:Lysobacter defluvii IMMIB APB-9 = DSM 18482 strain IMMIB APB-9 contig5, whole genome shotgun sequence.
GCCGCAAUAGCUCAGUUGGUAGAGCAACUGAUUCGUAAUCAGUAGGUCGGAGGUUCGACUCCUCUUUGCGGCA